CUAGCUGUUACAGUUGCAUAUUAACUGUUCAUGAUUAUGUAUAGUGAAUGUGUGUUAGGUAAGGUAGUUGUUGCUAUUAACUGUGUAAUAGCCGUGUGCUAUAACCUUGUAUUAUCAGCUAUGGAGUGUGGGGGAGAAUCCUGUGUUAGAAGACUCCUUCUGACUCUAGUGUCUGCUUGCUAUGGGGAUCCACUGGCUACCUUGACUACCCCAUGAACAAACCAUCAGAUUUCCAGCAUCUCCCUGUGGAAGAACACUGGAUAAGCACCCCUACUGCAAAUGAACUGUAUUAAAGCAAAGUGUCUGAGGAAGGUGGAGCGCUCUAAGAGGACAAAGACUGUUCUUAAAGUGAUCAGAGGCCACCUAGAGACAUUUGUGCUGUUCCCAUGUCAUGCUUCCCUGUGGAGAGUGUACAGAGUAAAGAACUGUUGGACAUAUUGGGGGGGUGGUGCUAGCAAUGCAGGUGGAGAAAUAAAAGAUGCAGCGUUGUUUGGGGGUAGAUAGGGGGCUGGUUGGGUCUUUGUGCAGAUAGACCUGUAGUUUUGGGGAUGCUGGAAGGUAGACGGAGCGUAUUGGAGAGGCCGCACCUAUGUGUAGUGACAAAUUGUGCCCUAUUGGCCUCAAAAUUAUACCACGAUAUGUGAAUAUUUUUUUCUAUAGUAUUUCUCACAUAGAGCCCUGUUACCGUAGUAUUAGGCUCAUACUGUUGUUAAAGGCUUUCCUCAUUUUCUGCGCCUGUCUAUUUUUAUGUUAUUCUGUUAGAAUAAAAGGGUGGUAUGUUAGGGGUUAAUGUUGACCUGACUAGCGCCAUCUUGUUCUUGGCAUCCAUCUUGUAAUGAUUAAUCUUUAUUAUAAUGGGUUAUUCUGUAGUGAGAAAUAUAUGCUUGUUAUUUUACUCUGCAAAGCUAGCUAACCUUGUAGAUAGGGAUGCACCGAAAUUUCGGCCGCAGAAAAUUUCGGCCGAAAAUAGCAUUUUUUGUUAUUUCGGUUUUUGGUUUUUUUGCCUUUUAUUUUCGGCAAAAUUAUUGUGUAGCAUAUUUUAAAUUUGAUGCCAGCCUAGAGCUGCUGUUUGAGUUCAUUACUUGACUUACUGUUUUGCAUAUAAUAAUAGUUUUCUAGGACUAUACUUUAUUUUGAUAAUUGGUAACAAAACAAAAACGGUUAAAUCUUAUUCUGUUACACAGAACUAAAUAAAGAAUAAUACUAGCGAUGCACCAAAAUUUGGGCCGCCGAAAAUGUGCAAUUCCAAUUUCGGCCCAAAGAGGACCAAAAUGGCUAAAAAUGUACAGCCCUCCCCUGUUCUAUUGAGUUACAUGUCUAUCCUUAGCAUAAGGUGAGCAGCACAGCACUGGCAUGGUACACAGAGCACACGCAUAAGUACCAUGACAUGAUGAUAUUUGAAACCAGCAGAGAAGGAAACCAAAGUUCUGAAUAGUGAAUACAAAUAUCAAAGGAGGAUAAGUAACAUGUUUAUAAACACUUGAUAUUAUCAGACAUAGCCCUAAGCACACAAAGUGAAUAUCUUUAAGCCUUAUAUACAGUGCUCAUACAUCAACCUCUUGUGCGUAGACAUUCUAUUCACCUGAGGCAAAUAUGCGUGCACACUUUAUAAGCAUAAGCCCCAAGCUCGCACACAGUUGGUACAAAUUAGCACCCACCAGACAGUGUAUACAAAAAAGCACAGUAACUUUCUAUAACCACCUUGCACGUAAGGUUGUAGCUAAGUCCAGUGGUCCUGGUGAUAGGUGACAGGCAGACUCCAUUUGGGGCUCCGGACAUAUAAUCUGACGGGUCAGUGUGAGACCCGCACCAGGAACUAGGCGGAGAUAUGAUGAGAGACGAUAAGGUGCAGCCACGCUCAUCGCACGGAUAACUACACCCAAAAACAAAACACAUGUCCACCUCUUAUUGUUGUCUGGCUAUAACCACGCUCUCUCUUAUAGAGCUAUAGUUUCACUGCAGAUUGCGCCCUACUGUACAAGUGACCAUGUCCAUUUGUUGGAGCUUUCCCGCCUACAAGCUCUCUCAGCUACACACACACACUGUAGUUAAAAAAGAAAAAAACUAUUUCGGUUUCGUUUCGGUUUUCGGCCAGGAUCAUCCUGAAUUUUCGGUAUCGGUUUCGGUCCAGAAUUUUCAUUUCGGUGCAUCCCUACUUGUAGAUGUCCCUGGCACUAGGCCCGGAGGGUACUAUCUCUAUAAGAUGUUCAAACGACCUUGUUGUUCUCUAAGAUGCACUGCUUAUUAUGACUAUAGAAUAUUGUUUAGAGCUAGUGAAUUUCCAGAACAACACUGUGUAUAACUGUGUAAAAUGACGCUGUCAUAACGUGUCAUCAAGUUAACCCUAUCUGCUGUUACUGUAGCCUAUAAGACAUGCAUUGUAUCUUUCAAUGAACAGAAAAGUUUUAGAUCA